UACGUAGGGUGCGAGCGUUGUCCGGAAUUAUUGGGCGUAAAGGGCUCGUAGGCGGUUUGUCGCGUCGGGAGUGAAAACUCAGGGCUUAACCCUGAGCCUGCUUCCGAUACGGGCAGACUAGAGGUAUGCAGGGGAGAACGGAAUUCCUGGUGUAGCGGUGAAAUGCGCAGAUAUCAGGAGGAACACCGGUGGCGAAGGCGGUUCUCUGGGCAUUACCUGACGCUGAGGAGCGAAAGUGUGGGGAGCGAAUGGG
rnacentral:rRNA from 1 species